GCCCAGCCCGACGUAUAGCCCACAACGGCCCAGGCCCAAUACAAGAGAUUAUAUUUUUUUGAAGUGGCAUGUGUGUUCUAUAUUGUCUGUUCUGAUACGCUUAAUUGCUUAUCAUCAUCACCUGGUUUGCAUGUUUGGAAAUCGAAUGGCAAAACCGGUGGUGCUUUGUAGUACACCACCACAAAUUGAAUCGCUACGACGUUUUGGAAUUUUGCCGCCACCAAAUGCUCUUCGAUUUCCAUCGUUUUGCUGCAAAGCCAGCUCCGCCAUCCAAUGUAAUAACAUGAGUUCUUCAACCAGAAUCUUUAUCAAAGGGCUUCCUCAAUCAACCUCUGAAGGACGUUUAAUGAAGGCGUUUUCAGAGUUCGGUGAUGUUACACAAGUCAAGGUUCCAAUAGAUAAAGAAUCAGGGCAAUCUUUAGGAUAUGCAUAUAUUGGGUUUGACAAGGAAGAGUCUGCGAAAUCAGCUGUGAAAGAGAUGAAUGGAAAGUUUUUUGAUGGGAGGUUUAUUUAUGUUACCACCGCAAAGCCUGUAUCAUCGAAAAGUCAGAAGAGGCCAACUGCCUACAAAUUUUAAUCACAUGAGCUCUGUUUCUGUGGACCACAUAUUCAUGUAAGAGGCAACUUAAUUAUGAAUUUCUAACACUCCGGCAGUGCUGGAUUGGAGCUAUAGGAAACUCUGAAGUGGAGGGAGACUCUCUAAAGACCAACAAAAUGUGCUAGUAAUAGGAUUGGAGCUAAGUUGUAGAACACUUGUGGAUUACUAAUGCCUUAAAAGGCUGAAAGGGGUAACUGAAGUUGAUUAGCAUAAUGGAAACUCAAGAAGGCAAAGUAGUUUUUCAAGAAAGGAGAAGUUAAAGGAUGUUAAUGCAGUUCUAGAGCAUUGGUAAUCUACAAGACAACUACAACAGCAGAGCGUGCUACCGUUGUUAAUCCAUUUGCACGCCAAAUAAGAACUUCACAACUGAUCAGUAUUUCACCUGUUAUGCCCUUUCUCUGUCUGAUUAGUUUUUACUUUUUAACAAUUCAGAUUUUGUUUCUCUGAGAACUAUAAAGCCCUGCUCUGCACAAAUUUUGGUGGUUUGUAUUGGAAAAUAAUCAUUUAUUUAUAAGCUAUUCUUAACCGCUUUUUAAAGUUAGCUCAAAACUAGCUUAAGCGAUCCGCAGUUUCAAACACUAGCUUAAGCGCUUAUAAAAUAAGGUUAAAUAAACUGUUUCAAACAAAAUUUUAGUAAGAAGCGACAUU